ensembl:lncRNA
GUUGGCCAUAAGGCAUACGCCCCCGCCCGUCUUCUUACCAGAAAGAUGUUUGUUUCUGUCGGCGCGUUGCGUGGAGAAACCCGCUGGCUGCACCGCUUUGGAUAGCGUCUCUCCAGUGAGCCAUGUUUCCGUGAAGCAGAGAACGUUACAGUCUCUGAUGUCCCUCUGGAAUGCUACCCUUGCUCGGAUUUCAUCAACCUUGUUGUCAAGAGACUGGACAUUGGCAAGAAGAAUGCUAGGGAGUGUUGCACGGUGUGCCCGUCUCCGGAGUCUGACCAGAAGACCGCUUCGCUUCCCUCUUUUUCUGAGUCGUUUUUUUGGGUCGCUGCAUGUAAUCCACUCCGCUGUCCUGUUUGUAAGGCAGAAAACAGGAUCCGCAUCGCGAAAAACAUAUUCUUGGUCGUACUGAUGGGCUCCCGGUCAUCUCUGGAAGGUGUCCGUCCAGUGGGACAGGUGGACAAACACAUCCUGUUGCUGGUGUAUGGAGUGGGAAGUGCUGGGUCAGCGAUGAGGGUACGUUUUGACAUUUGGUAACAAGGAAACAUUUCCCCCCUGCUAACUGACAAACUGUGAGGAUCCCUGCGCCACACCCUCUGUGAUGUCAUCAUGGAACUGAGGGUCCUGCCCAAUCCGCUGUGCCUGGAGACGUUCCUUACCACACCUGGGAGAUGUCAGAGAGAAGACACAACUAACGGUCAUUUAAGUUCUCCUCCAUUGGAAGUGAAUCUCUGGCUCCUCUCUCGCUCCUUUCUGGCUCCUCUCUGGCUCCUCUCUCGCUCCUCUCUGGCUCCUUUCUCGCUCCUCUCUGGCUCCUCUCUGGCUCCUCUCUGGCUCCUCUCUGACAGGAGAGGAGGAUGACCGUCCAUUCAGCAGUGCACCGCUGAGAUUGCCUCCCAGUUCCUGCUUCCUCCCAUCCUGACAGAGAUUGUCAAUCUGGUCAGCUCCCUGGCCAGUGACACCACUGUCAAGGUGUUCGAGAGGACGAGGUGGAUCAUUUGAAAGAAUCAAGUCGAUCGCUGGAAAGACACAAUCACUAGAAAGAAUCAAGCAUUUGAAUAUGUGCAUUAUUUUAAAAGCUUCCAGCUAAUAUGGAAAGAGUAUAUAUCCAGAAUGCAUGUAUAUACAUACAUACGCUUACAA